rnacentral:rRNA from 1 species
CUACGGGUUGCUGCGUGGGGAAUAUUGGGCAAUGGGCGCAAGCCUGACCCAGCAACGCCGCGUGAGGGAAGAAGGUUUUCGGAUUGUAAACCUCUGUCCUUGGGGACGAAGAAGUGACGGUACCCAAGGAGGAAGCUCCGGCUAACUACGUGCCAGCAGCCGCGGUAAUACGUAGGGAGCAAGCGUUGUCCGGAAUUACUGGGCGUAAAGGGUGCGUCGGCGGCAUAUUAAGUCAGGUGUGAAAUACUCGGGCUCAACCCGGGGGCUGCAUUCGAAACUGAUAUGCUUGAGUGUGAGAGAGGAAAGUGGAAUUCCUAGUGUAGCGGUGGAAUGCGUAGAUAUUAGGAGGAACACCAGUGGCGAAGGCGACUUUCUGGCUCAUAACUGACGCUGAGGCACGAAAGCGUGGGGAGCAAACAGGAUUAGAUACCCGAGUAGUC